rnacentral:rRNA from 1 species
UACAGAGGUGGCAAGCGUUGUUCGGAAUUACUGGGCGUAAAGGGCGCGUAGGCGGCAAUUCAAGUCAGCUGUGAAAUCUCCGGGCUUAACUCGGAACGGUCAGCUGAUACUGCUUUGCUAGAGUGCAGAAGGGGCAAUCGGAAUUCUUGGUGUAGCGGUGAAAUGCGUAGAUAUCAAGAGGAACACCUGAGGUGAAGACGGGUUGCUGGGCUGACACUGACGCUGAGGCGCGAAAGCUAGGGUAGCAAACGGG